AAGUUAAAAUUUUUAAUUUAAAUUAUAAGUUUAAAAUUUAAAAAUUUAAAUUCAAUUAUAGGGUUAAUAUCAUUAUUUUCUAUUUAUAACCAUCAACUAUUUCUCUUAUUCCCAAUAACCAUCCAAACACAAUUUUUUUAGUUCCAGCUUAUACUCAUAUUUUCAUCCAAAUAAAAAGAAUACCCUGUUCUUAUAAAAACCCAUAUUUGUACCUAUUCCCGGUAUAGCUAGUUCCUACUAAUUCCCGAACCAAACGGAGCCUACAGGUAUAAGCAGGGAUUAAAUCAAUUUUGCGUUUGGAUGAUAAUUGGGUUAUUCUGGGAAUAAAAAAAAUAGCAUUUGAUUAGGUAAGAUGGAAUAAGAAUUAAAGUGGGUAGUGAUAAAUAAAAAAUAAUAAUAUUAUUUCUUUCUUUAUAUUAGAAUUUAAAUUUUUAUAUUUUAUAUUUAUAUUUUAGAAUUUAAAAUAUAAACUUUUAAAUUUUAAAUUUUGAAAUUAAAAUUUAAAAUUUAAAAUCUCAAAUUUAAAAUUUAAAAUCUUAAAUUUUAAAUUUAAAGUUUUAAAUUUUAAAUUUAAAACUUUAAAUUUAAGAUCAAAUUUAAAUUUAAAAAAUCUAAAAUGUCAAAUUCUAAAUUUCAAAAAUUUAAAAUAUCAAAAUUAAAUUUAAAUUAAUUUGAAUUUAAAUUUAAAAUUUAAAAUUUGGAAUUUAAAUUUAAAUUUAAAAUUUGGAAUUUAAAAUUAUAAACUUUAAUUUUGAGAUUACAAAUUAUAAAUUUUAUUAAAUUUAAAUUUUAAAUUUUAAAUUUUAAAAUUUUAAAAUAAGAAUAGGGGUGGGAACAAAUAAUAAAAAUAAUUUAUUAUAAUAAAUUUAUAAAUUUGAUAAAAAUAAAUUUUUUAUUACAUUUAUAAUUUUUUAUUAUUAAUAAAUUUAUAAUUUUUUUAAAAAUUCUACUUAAAUGUAAAUUUAAUAAAAAUAAUUUAUUAUAAAAUUUAAAUAUAAAUAAUAGGUAUUAAUAUAGUACAAUUAAUAAUUUUAUAAUAAUGACAAUAAUGUAUUAUAAUAUAUAACAUAUUAUAUUUAUAUAAUUUAUUUUUAAUUUAAUUUAUAUUUUUAAUUGUAAGGACUGAGAUUUUGACAGUGCAACUAAACUCUCUGUUGACGAUGUUUAGGUGUGUAAUUUAAUUAAAAAAGCACUCGUCAAGUUUCAGGAGAACCCGAGUUAGAAUGGAGAAGUUACGCGAUUAUUAGUUUUCACUUAAAGUGAAUAGUAACUUGGUUUUUCGGUGAAGCCACGGAGUAGAGUUGGCUUUCGGCGCAUAUCGGACUCCGUUCAUAGCGAUCCAAUAGCUCGUUUCGACCGGUUCAGCUAUUCUGGAACCAAUGGCACUGACGGAUUUCAGAUCUAACGUACGGUUUUCGAGAAAAAGGGAUUUUAUCGAAAAGAGGGUUUUCGCUCUUUACUGUUCUUGCAUAAUGAGACUCCUCAUGCUCUGUGUAUGUGACCUAGAGUAAGGUGAGGGAUGUUACAUAUACCUACUAGUGGUAGGAGAUUCAAAUUUGAAUUUGAAUCUAGGAUUUAGUGGGAUUACACAUUGGUUUAUGUGUGUGGUUUUUGGAAAUUGGAGAGCGGACGGGUUUCGUCGCGAAUCUGUGACCGAUCGAUGUGAACCAAAAUCGUAGGUUUAUUGUCCCUGUCGUGCUGAACGCGAUGGCGCAAUCCGUUCGGAAUUCUGAUGAACGGAUUGCCGGAUAUCGCAUGAUGUUCGAAAAGGGGUCUAAAGUGACUAAUUGGAAUUUUCGCAAAAGUCCCCAUAUUUUAUGUACCGAAUCGCGCGAAAUCAGACGUGGAGGUGCGUACGUGUAAAAUACUCGCACUGUGAAGGAUUGAAUUUCUAAUAAUCUGUUUGGAGGG
rnacentral:lncRNA from 1 species